rnacentral:lncRNA from 1 species
AGGACACAGAGAAGACCACUCCCACCUCCCCGAGUGCAAGGUGUGAAGGGACAGAUCUUUUAACCAUGCCUGCCCCCUUAUACUUGCUGUUCAUAGAAUUGCAACUGAAAGUGACCAUGAGGAUCCACUGGAUGGAGUUACUUCUUUCUUAAGUGAGGAGGCUAAGACCUGAGUUCUUCACAUCUCUCUGUAGAUAAAAUUUCCGGUCUGGUUUCACAUUCCUCUGUCAGAAGAACUUUCUUUAAUGUUUCUUAAAGUACAGGUCUGCUGCUUAUGUGAGAAGAAACGCAGGGAGACAGUUCAGUCACUGCAAUCUUCAUGCCCAUCAGUUUCUUGUGAGAAGAAAACAAGAGCUCCAAUCUGUUAGAUGGUAUUUUGAAGCAGGUCUUUGGGUAAAGGACACCUAGACCCAGUGAAGGUCAUGGUGAUUAUUAUUGGACAAUGGGACAUCACUCUGCUAUUAAGUGAGAAAAUGAGACAGGUUGCACUGAGGGCUGUUAGCCAGACAGAGUCUCGAACUGGAAGUCCAUCUAGAUGUUUUGCAUAAGAGAAUGGAAACAAUCUGUCUGUGAUUUAGGGACAUACUCUGGCAGCAAUAUGGGAAUACAGUUUCAAUCCUCAUUAACAAAACAGGUAUGAAAUACAUAUUUAUUUAGUAAGGUGCCAGCUGUAUGAAAAAUCCAUUUCUUAUUUCCCAUAAUGUUUCUGAAAUGUCUUAGCAGUGCAUAGAGACAGCAUGUCAUCAUUUUCUAGGGACUGUGUGUUAUUGCAUUUUUCCUAGGGAAGAUCUUUUCUAGGUCACCUGCUCCUUCACUAAAGCUCUGACCAAUCUAGCUUGCUAACCUGUGACUCCAUUUUCCUAAGUCCUGAGAGAGAAAAACGCUUUGCAGCAAAUUAUGCCAGGCAUCCUUGUGUCUAAAUGAAAAAAGGAAAAAGCCUCCUUCCUUCCCUCUGUUGAGAAGUGCACGGUCCACAUAUGCAUGCACAGCAUAUACUGUGAGGGUAUUUGCAGUCCCUUGGGUUGCUUUGAUAACUGGCCAGGUUGCUGUUCUAUUUUUCCACAUUCUAUUAAUCCUCCUACAGGCAGUUAUUAGGUAUUGAGUGCUCACACACCCCUGGCAUAGUCACCACAUGCCAUUAGCUCCAGAUAAACUUCCAGAAAAAAGUCCAUCCCCCACUUCUCUCAGCUGCCUGCCAACGCUGGACACCUUCUCACCAAGCCAGCAGGACAGAGAAAAGCCUGGGCUUUAAGAUCAAACAAACACAGCUUCAAAUUAGGACUCUGUCACUUCCUGUGUACUGGGCACUUUGCUGAGUAUGUGGUUUCUCAUCUGUAAAACAGAGAAAGAUGAUUAUCUCCCAAUCUUUCUAUGUUAUAUGUUUGAAUUAAAUAAGGUACUCUCCAUGAA